CACCAGCGCCCAAGCCCCGCCUCCUAGCGGGCAGCCAAUCAGAAAGGGGGGAGGCGGGCUCUCCCAUCUCUAAACCAAUGGCAAAGCUUGUUGGGGCGGGUCUAGGAAAUCAGUGCGGCGUGGGAAGAGGAGAGGGACCCGUACGCCCCCCUCCCCAGCCUCGACUGCACCCUUUCCGGCGCCGAGGCCGCAGUGCGCGUGCGCCUCCCCCCAGAGCGCCGGGGCCCAUUAGUCCAGGGCCUUCCCGGCCACCGUAGCGAAGGAGCUAGUCUUUGUCGGAGCUUCCGGGAAGUCUCCGGCGCACCACUUCCGCGGUCAUCCUUCCACAAAGAACAGUGGCCUCCAGCCCGGCUCGACGUCUUCAUUCAUUCAUUCCUCACGUGGCACGUAGGUGGCUCUUUGCGACCAGACCUGAACUGCUCUCUCCCGACCGUGUCCGUCUACCUGAUGGAGUCCCUCCUGCAGCUCAGCCUCGGGAACCAGGACCUGCAGCAGCGGCUUCUCCCGCUGCCAGAGUGCGAGCCAGCAGCCUCUCUGUCCUCUAAAGAGUUUCCAGGUCCCGGGCUCCUCGCUGACAGGGGACAUGAAUGGCUGUGAUUACAUGUUGCUGAUGAUCGAGCCUACAACCUAGGCAUGUGCCCUGACUGGGAAUCAAGCCCAUGACCUCCUGGUUCACAGGCCAGUGCUCAACCACUGAGCCACACCAACUAGGC